rnacentral:tRNA from 1 species
AGGCUGGUAGCUCAGCCCGGUAGAGCACUCCACUUUUAAUGGAGUGGUCGCGGGUUCGAAGGCAGCCGUAGACGCGCAAGUGUGCGCAUGAAACGGCUCCGAAAGUCCCGUCCAGCCUA